rnacentral:rRNA from 1 species
AGGUUGACCUCGGAUCAGGUAGGGAUACCCGCUGAACUUAAGCAUAUCAAUAAGCGGAGGAAAAGAAACCAACAGGGAUUGCCUCAGUAACGGCGAGUGAAGCGGCAAGAGCUCAAAUUUGAAAUCCGGCCCCCCUGGGGGCCUGAGUUGUAAUUUGCAGAGGAUGCUUCGGGCGCGACCGCGGUCCAAGUCCCCUGGAACGGGGCGUCGUAGAGGGUGAGAAUCCCGUCUCCGGCCGGCCGGUCUCGCCCGUGUGAAGCUCCUUCGACGAGUCGAGUUGUUUGGGAAUGCAGCUCCAAAUGGGUGGUAAAUUUCAUCUAAAGCUAAAUACUGGUCGGAGACCGAUAGCGCACAAGUAGAGUGAUCGAAAGAUGAAAAGCACUUUGAAAAGAGAGUUAAACAGCAUGUGAAAUUGUUGAAAGGGAAGCGCUUGCGACCAGAGUCGGCCGUGGGGGUUCAGCGGGCAUUCGUUGCCCGUGCAAUCCCCCGCGGCCGGGCCAGCGUCGGUUUCGACGGCCGGUCAAAGGCUCCCGGAAUGUGUCGCCUCUCGGGGCGUCUUAUAGCCGGGGGUGCAAUGCGGCCAGUCGGGACCGAGGAACGCGCUCCGGCACGGACGCUGGCUUAAUGGUCGUCAGCGACCCG